AACUAUAAUGGUCUCAAUGGUAGAAUUAUGUCCUUGGAUGGCAGAGACCCGAGUUCGAAUCCCGGUUGGUUG